AGUGAACGCUGGCGGUAGGCCUAACACAUGCAAGUCGAACGGCAGCACAGUAAGAGCUUGCUCUUACGGGUGGCGAGUGGCGGACGGGUGAGGAAUACAUCGGAAUCCACCUUUUCGUGGGGGAUAACGUAGGGAAACUUACGCUAAUACCGCAUACGACCUACGGGUGAAAGCAGGGGAUCUUCGGACCUUGCGCGAUUGAAUGAGCCGAUGUCGGAUUAGCUAGUUGGCGGGGUAAAGGCCCACCAAGGCGACGAUCCGUAGCUGGUCUGAGAGGAUGAUCAGCCACACUGGAACUGAGACACGGUCCAGACUCCUACGGGAGGCAGCAGUGGGGAAUAUUGGACAAUGGGCGCAAGCCUGAUCCAGCCAUACCGCGUGGGUGAAGAAGGCCUUCGGGUUGUAAAGCCCUUUUGUUGGGAAAGAAAAGCAGCAGGUUAAUACCCCGCUGUUCUGACGGUACCCAAAGAAUAAGCACCGGCUAACUUCGUG
rnacentral:rRNA from 1 species